UACGUAGGGUGCAAGCGUUGUCCGGAAUUAUUGGGCGUAAAGAGCUCGUAGGCGGCCUGUUGCGUCCGCUGUGAAAGCCCGGGGCUUAACCCCGGGUCGGCAGUGGAUACGGGCAGGCUAGAGGUAGGUAGGGGAGAAUGGAAUUCCCGGUGUAGCGGUGAAAUGCGCAGAUAUCGGGAGGAACACCGGUGGCGAAGGCGGUUCUCUGGGCCUUACCUGACGCUGAGGAGCGAAAGCGUGAGGAGCGAACAGG
rnacentral:rRNA from 1 species